AAUCUUCCACAAUGGACGGAAGUCUGAUGGAGCAACGCCGCGUGAGCGAAGAAGGUUUUCGGCUCGCAAAGCUCUGUUGUAAGGGAAGAACACGUACGGAGGUCACUGGCUGUACCGUGACGGUACAUUAUCAUAAAGCCACGGCUAACUACGUGCCAGCAGCCGCGGUAAUACGUAGGUGGCAAGCGUUGUCCGGAAUUAUUGGGCGUAAAGCGCGCGCAGGCGGUCCUUUAAGUCUGAUGUGAGAGCCCACGGCUCAACCGUGGAGGGUCAUUGGAAGCUGGAGGACUUGAGUACAGAAGAGGAAAGCGGAAUUCCACGUGUAGCGGUGAAAUGCGUAGAGAUGUGGAGGAACACCAGUGGCGAAGGCGGCUUUCUGGUCUGUAACUGACGCUGAGGCGCGAAAGCGUGGGGAGCAAAC
rnacentral:rRNA from 1 species